UACGAAGGGGGCUAGCGUUGUUCGGAAUUACUGGGCGUAAAGCGUGCGCAGGCGGCUUCUCAAGUCAGGGGUGAAAGCCCAGAGCUCAACUCUGGAAUUGCCUUUGAGACUGAGUGGCUUGAGUACGAGAGAGGUGAGUGGAAUUCCCAAUGUAGAGGUGAAAUUCGUAGAUAUUGGGAAGAACACCGGUGGCGAAGGCGGCUCACUGGCUCGUAACUGACGCUCAUGCACGACAGCGUGGGGAUCAAACAGG
rnacentral:rRNA from 1 species